UACAAACCAUAGAACACCAAAGAUUGUCAGAAAAUCAGCAGAGGUUACUAGAGAAGCGUGGACUCAAUUACCUUUUACAGCUUUCAAGAAGGAGCCAGCCGUGCCAACAUCUUGACUUUUAGCUUCCAGAAUUGCUGUUGCGGGACCAGCCACUGCCAGGGUCACUUCUGUUCUUGUGUUCAGCUCCAGUCACCCGCACCAGUGACCUCUUCUCUGAAGUAAGUUACAGGAUAUCAAAGGAGGAGAGUGAACAUCAUCCAAGGAUUUGGAGUCCUCUUCUGGGAAAAAGAUAUUGUCUUAGAAGCAUCAACCAAUUUGAAAUCCUGAUUGUAGCAAAGCAACCACAGGUAACCAAAGAACAAGAAGAGGGAGAGCAAUGGUUGUUGGACUUACUGGGACACACGAAACCCUUCGUUUUCCUCAGGACCUGGAUGGAAUAAGAAAUCCUGAGGGUUUGCUGAAAAACAAAACUGUCAUUUUUCACAUCAGCAUCAGUUUGCAACCUUUGACUCUGCUGCUAUUUUUCACUGCACACUAGCUACAAUGGGCUGGUUCACUGUUUCGCAUCCUCUGUUUCAUUACUUGUGGGUGUAUUUUUCAACAUUUUUUCCCUG
rnacentral:lncRNA from 1 species